AAAGGGAACAGGAAAAGAAAACCGUGAUCCGCUUUUAUGAGAAAAACUGAUGGAUAUAGAGUAGACAGAAACUGGGUAUUUUAGUGACUGGUGUCAGUGAAAUACCAUUGCUGUCAUCGCUGUUUCCCGUGCUCACUGACACAGGAAUAAACUGCUAUGUUACCUUUAAGCGCAUGCUGGCAUACGUAGUCUAACAUCACUUGGGUCGGNNNNNNNNNNNNNNNNNNNNNNNNNNNNNNNNNNNNNNNNUUCCCGUGCUCACUGACACAGGAAUAGACUGCUAUGUUACCAUGCUGGCAUACGUAGUUUAACAUCACUUGGGUCGGUGUCAUGUUCAUCUCAGAUACAGUGUAGUGUCCAUUACGUUAUUUGAACCACAAUGUUUUGUGCGACCAUGUCAGGCGAAGAGUUUGACCGGGAUGAUACAUCCAUGAAGUGUUCACGCAGUUGUCUUAGAGUGAACUCAGACAGAACAGAAAUUGGUUCAGAGUAAAGGGAAGAAGGUUAAAAUUGAUUAUGAUUCUCAAUAUGAUUACGGACCAUGUAAGCAUAUUGAUCUUUUUGAAUAUUAUUUUCAGAUUUUGAAGAAAGAGAUGCCAGAAAAGUUACUACGGAGAUAAUUGGCUUUCGGCUGCCUAGCACCCACAGUGACGUCCUUUUUGGCCCUUCAAUAUCGGCUCUUCUAAUCACCAAGAGUCGAGUUGCUCAUGCAAUUAUAGGGAACGCUUCCUUCGUUUAGAAUACCACGAGUCUGGUUUGUUUUACCUUAAUAAUAAGUGAAGUACAAUCUAACUGUUGCUACCGUAACCUCGUUCAGUAGGAGAGUAACCUCAAAGUCAGAAAGUUAGUGUAUGUUCCCGAUGAAAAGUCCAGCGUUUCCUAGCUACCAUCUGAGGGAUUUAGACUGAAAGCCGCUCAUCGUAAUCUGUGCCCUGGAAUUUGGCGUUCAGGGGUCGGAAUGGCAUCUAAUUAUGGUAUGAGCGUGAAUAUAUUAAAUAUUUUGUAGACGACUAAAUUUGUUUUUAAAAAUUUAAUAUUAGAUUU
rnacentral:ncRNA from 1 species